rnacentral:lncRNA from 1 species
CCUUGCCCACGGUGCCAUCUGGAUGUCCCCAUGGCUUGGUGGCACCUCGUCCCCAUGGUCCAGUCCAUGUCUCCUCCAGCUUGGUGGCACCUUGUCCCCAUGUCCGUGGCUCAGUCAGUGUGUCCCCAUGGCUUGGUGGCACCUUGUCCUCCUGUCCACAGCUCAGUCCAUGUGUCCUCCAGCUUGGUGGCACCUUGUCCCCUUGCCCAUGAUGCCAUCUGGGUGUCCCCAUGACUUGGGGGCACCUCAUCCUUGUGGUCCAGUCCGUCUGUCCCCCAUUCCAGCGUCAUCUUGUCCCCAUGUCCACAGCUCAGUCCCUGUGUCCUCCAGCUUGGUGUCACCUCCUGCCUGUCCCUGUAGCUCAGUCCCUGUGUCCCGUGGCUUGGUGUCACCUUGUCCCCUUGCCCACAGCAGUCUCUAUGUCCCUCAGAUGGGUGUCACCUCACCCCCUUACCCAUGGGGUAGUCUCUGUGUCUCGGUGUCACCUCGUCCCCUUGCCCAUGGCUCGGUCCGUGUGUCCUCCAGCUCACUGCCACUUUGUCCCUGUGGCCAUAGCUCAGUCCCCGUGUCCCCCAGCUUGGCGUCACCUCAUCCCCUUGCCCGUGACUCAGUCCCCAUGUCCUCCAGCUCGAUGCCACCUCCUCCCUGUGGCCAUAGCUCAGUCCCCAUGUCCUCCAGCUCGGUGCCACCACGUCCCCAUGGGUCAGUCCGUGCGUGUCCCCCCCCUCUCAGGGGACAAAGAGGGGCUUGUGGACGCGCUUGUGGCGGUUGAGCGUGGCGCUGCGGGCGAAGCUCUCCCCGCACUCCACGCAGAUGAAGGGCUCCGGCGGCCCCCCAUCUCGGGGUUGCCCCCCGGCCCCGUGGACCCGCUGGUGCUUCAGCAGGUUGCCGCUCUGGGCGAAACCCCGGCCGCAGUGGGCGCAGCGGUGGGGCCGAGCCCCCGAGUGGGUGCGUUGGUGCUUGAUGAGGUUCUUGCUCUGGGUGAAGCUCUUCCCGCACUCCCCGCAGCUGUAGGGCUUCUCCCCGGUGUGGAUGCGCUGGUGCUGGAUGAGGUUGGAGCUCCAGCUGAAGCUCUUGCCGCAGUCCCCGCAGCUAUAGGGCUUCUCCCCGGUGUGGGUCCGGCGGUGCUGGACCAGGUGGGAGUUUUGGCUGAAGCUCUUGCCGCACUCCCCGCAGGUGCUGGGCCGUUCCCCGGUGUGGGUCCUGCGGUGCCGCAGCAGCUUGGACCAGUGGCUGAAGCUCUUCCCGCACUCGUUGCAGAUAAAAGGCCGCUGGCGACCCCCCCGCCGCCCCCUCUCCCCUUCCUCUUCCUCGCCGUAACCCACCCCCCCCAACCCGGAGGUGGCGGCCACCGAGCUGGGGGUCCCCCCGCCGCCGCCGAUGGUGCCCCCCCCGCCACCAGUGCCCCCCCCGCCGCCGCCGCCGCCGCCGCGUUUCUUGGUUUUGGGGGGCAGGGGGCUGUGGGGGAUGACGGUCUGGAUGAUCUCGUGGGGCAGCACCUCGUCCUCGCAGUCGCUGACGAUCCCGUCGUCGGCUACGGGGGGGGGGGGGGGGGGGGAAGAGGGUGGGGAGGGGGCAGAGACACCCCCCCCAAAGGCAGAGACCCCCCUUUGGGAGAGACACCCCCCCCUCCC